UCCUACGGGAGGCAGCAGUGGGGAAUAUUGGACAAUGGGGGAAACCCUGAUCCAGUCAUGCCGCGUGUGAAGAAGGCCCUCGGGUUGUAAAGCACUUUCAGCGAGGAAGAACGCCUAACGGUUAAUACCCGCUAGGAAAGACAUCACUCGCAGAAGAAGCACCGGCUAACUCCGUGCCAGCAGCCGCGGUAAUACGGAGGGUGCAAGCGUUAAUCGGAAUUACUGGGCGUAAAGCGCGCGUAGGUGGCUUGAUAAGCCGGUUGUGAAAGCCCCGGGCUCAACCUGGGAACGGCAUCCGGAACUGUCAAGCUAGAGUGCAGGAGAGGAAGGUAGAAUUCCCGGUGUAGCGGUGAAAUGCGUAGAGAUCGGGAGGAAUACCAGUGGCGAAGGCGGCCUUCUGGACUGACACUGACACUGAGGUGCGAAAGCGUGGGUAGCAAACAGGAUUAGAUACCCUGGUAGUCCACGCCGUAAACGAUGUCGACCAGCCGUUGGGUGCCUAGCGCACUUUGUGGCGAAGUUAACGCGAUAAGUCGACCGCCUGGGGAGUACGGCCGCAAGGUUAAAACUCAAAUGAAUUGACGG
rnacentral:rRNA from 1 species